rnacentral:rRNA from 1 species
ACGUUAGCGGCGGACGGGUGAGUAACACGUGGGUAACCUACCUAUAAGACUGGGAUAACUCCGGGAAACCGGGGCUAAUACCGGAUAACACAUGAAACCGCAUGGUUUCAUGAUGAAAGACGGUUUUGCUGUCACUUAUAGAUGGACCCGCGGCGUAUUAGCUAGUUGGUAAGGUAACGGCUUACCAAGGCAACGAUACGUAGCCGACCUGAGAGGGUGAUCGGCCACACUGGAACUGAGACACGGUCCAGACUCCUACGGGAGGCAGCAGAG